AUUGAACGCUGGCGGCAGGCCUAACACAUGCAAGUCGAGCGGAUGAGGGGAGCUUGCUCCCUGAUUUAGCGGCGGACGGGUGAGUAAUGCCUAGGAAUCUGCCUGGUAGUGGGGGAUAACGUUCCGAAAGGAACGCUAAUACCGCAUACUUCCUACGGGAGAAAGCAGGGGACCUUCGGGCCUUGCGCUAUCAGAUGAGCCUAGGUCGGAUUAGCUAGUUGGUGGGGUAAUGGCUCACCAAGGCGACGAUCCGUAACUGGUCUGAGAGGAUGAUCAGUCACACUGGAACUGAGACACGGUCCAGACUCCUACGGGAGGCAGCAGUGGGGAAUAUUGGACAAUGGGCGAAAGCCUGAUCCAGCCAUGCCGCGUGUGUGAAGAAGGUCUUCGGAUUGUAAAGCACUUUAAGUUGGGAGGAAGGGCUGCUGGUUAAUACCCUGCAGUUUUGACGUUACCAACAGAAUAAGCACCGGCUAACUUCGUG
rnacentral:rRNA from 1 species